rnacentral:rRNA from 1 species
UGGCUCAGGAUGAACGCUGGCGGCGUGCCUAAUACAUGCAAGUCGAAUGAGUUCUGAUUAUUGAAAGGUGCUUGCAUCUUGAUUUAAUUUUGAACGAGUGGCGGACGGGUGAGUAACACGUGGGUAACCUGCCCUUAAGUGGGGGAUAGCAUUUGGAAACAGAUGCUAAUACCGCAUAAAUCCAAGAACCGCAUGGUUCUUGGCUGAAAGAUGGCGUAAGCUAUCGCUUUUGGAUGGACCCGCGGCGUAUUAGCUAGUUGGUGAGGUAACGGCUCACCAAGGCAAUGAUACGUAGCCGAACUGAGAGGUUGAUCGGCCACAUUGGGACUGAGACACGGCCCAAACUCCUACGGGAGGCAGCAGUAGGGAAUCUUCCACAAUGGACGCAAGUCUGAUGGAGCAACGCCGCGUGAGUGAAGAAGGCUUUCGGGUCGUAAAACUCUGUUGUUGGAGAAGAAUGGUCGGCAGAGUAACUGUUGUCGGCGUGACGGUAUCCAACCAGAAAGCCACGGCUAACUACGUGCCAGCAGCCGCGGUAAUACGUAGGUGGCAAGCGUUAUCCGGAUUUAUUGGGCGUAAAGCGAGCGCAGGCGGUUUUUUAAGUCUGAUGUGAAAGCCCUCGGCUUAACCGAGGAAGUGCAUCGGAAACUGGGAAACUUGAGUGCAGAAGAGGACAGUGGAACUCCAUGUGUAGCGGUGAAAUGCGUAGAUAUAUGGAAGAACACCAGUGGCGAAGGCGGCUGUCUGGUCUGUAACUGACGCUGAGGCUCGAAAGCAUGGGUAGCGAACAGGAUUAGAUACCCUGGUAGUCCAUGCCGUAAACGAUGAAUGCUAGGUGUUGGAGGGUUUCCGCCCUUCAGUGCCGCAGCUAACGCAUUAAGCAUUCCGCCUGGGGAGUACGACCGCAAGGUUGAAACUCAAAGGAAUUGACGGGGGCCCGCACAAGCGGUGGAGCAUGUGGUUUAAUUCGAAGCAACGCGAAGAACCUUACCAGGUCUUGACAUCUUUUGAUCACCUGAGAGAUCAGGUUUCCCCUUCGGGGGCAAAAUGACAGGUGGUGCAUGGUUGUCGUCAGCUCGUGUCGUGAGAUGUUGGGUUAAGUCCCGCAACGAGCGCAACCCUUAUGACUAGUUGCCAGCAUUUAGUUGGGCACUCUAGUAAGACUGCCGGUGACAAACCGGAGGAAGGUGGGGAUGACGUCAAAUCAUCAUGCCCCUUAUGACCUGGGCUACACACGUGCUACAAUGGAUGGUACAACGAGUUGCGAGACCGCGAGGUCAAGCUAAUCUCUUAAAGCCAUUCUCAGUUCGGACUGUAGGCUGCAACUCGCCUACACGAAGUCGGAAUCGCUAGUAAUCGCGGAUCAGCACGCCGCGGUGAAUACGUUCCCGGGCCUUGUACACACCGCCCGUCACACCAUGAGAGUUUGUAACACCCGAAGCCGGUGGCGUAACCCUUUUAGGGAGCGAGCCGUCUAAGGUGGGACAAAUG